UACGUAGGGUGCGAGCGUUGUCCGGAAUUACUGGGCGUAAAGCGCGUGUAGGCGGUCUGCUAAGUCGGGUGUGAAAGCCCUGGGCUCAACCCAGGAAGUGCACUCGAAACUGGUAGGCUAGAGUACUGGAGAGGUUGGUGGAAUUCUCGGUGUAGAGGUGAAAUUCGUAGAUAUCGAGAGGAACACCGGUGGCGAAGGCGGCCAACUGGACAGAUACUGACGCUGAGACUCGAAAGCGUGGGGAGCAAACAGG
rnacentral:rRNA from 1 species